UGUAACUUAGAAACACAGUAUGAUUAUUAUUCUUCUGCUAGAAAUAGAAUAACAUGGUUUUUUAUCUUAACCAUUAAAUUUAAAAAUAAUAAGUUGUAAUGUUUUUAAUAGAAAUACUUUACAAUGUUUAUAAUUUUCAAUUCAAUUAAUUUAAUUUGUUAUAAAAUUUAGACUGGACUUGUUAAUGGGCAAACUAAAUAUUUAUUUUAAUUUUGAAUAAAACUAUCAAAAUGGGCUGUAUUUUGAAUACAAAUUGUUUAUCAAAGCCCGUAUUUUCUAAAUUGGCCCAAGCCCAGUCGAUUGUUUGGUUCAGUUUUCAACAGAGCUCCUUUUUCUGUUUUCAUGUUUCAAAAAACUUUUCGGUAUCACCCAAAAAAGUAAACUCAAAUGGCGAUUGAAGCAGAGGACACAAUUGAUAGAUAGUUGGCUCCAAGGUGUGCUCAUAUCCUGUAUUUUCUCCGUCGUUGAUAGAUAAUUGGCAUCCUAGAUUCUACUUAACCAAUUUCUUCUUUUUUUUUUUUUAAUUUCUUCUGCGUGUGAUGUCCGAUGGCUUAAAAGGAAUGGAUCCGUUGAAAUCAAAACCGAUCUGAGGCAUUCACAGAACAUAUUGGUGUGGACGUUCGAUUUAGUAUUCAACUAAGAAAAAUCUCCAAAGAUGUGGGUUCAGAUUGCCAGUAAAUCGUUUCAUUCCAUUUUUUUAAUCUUUUUUUCUCUUGCAAGGAUCUAUGAAGAUAAUAUUAGGUGUCUUAAUUUUAAAAAUAUGAAUUUUCUGUUAAAAUAUAUUUUUUCCUUUAAAUCUAGUUUUUAUUUUACCACAGAUGUUAGUCCAUGAUCUCACGAAAAAAUCAAAAAACAUGUUAACAUGUCUAAGUAUUUACCUUUUUG
rnacentral:lncRNA from 1 species